rnacentral:tRNA from 2 species
GGAAGUGCCAGGGUCCUGGUGGGCCUCCUGGUCUUCAAAACCAGUGCGCCGGUGACGAGCUGGCGGGUGAGUUCGAUUCUCAUGCACUUCCGCCA